UACGUAGGGACCAAGCGUUGUUCGGAUUUACUGGGCGUAAAGGGCGCGUAGGCGGCAAUUCAAGUCAGCUGUGAAAUCUCCGAGCUUAACUCGGAACGGUCAGCUGAUACUGCUUUGCUAGAGUACAGAAGGGGCAAUCGGAAUUCUUGGUGUAGCGGUGAAAUGCGUAGAUAUCAAGAGGAACACCUGAGGUGAAGACGGGUUGCUGGGCUGAUACUGACGCUGAGGCGCGAAAGCUAGGGUAGCAAACGGG
rnacentral:rRNA from 1 species